AACGCACAUUGCGCCCGCUAGUAUUCUGGCGGGCAUGCCUGUUCGAGCGUCAUUUCAACCAUCAAGCGCCUGCGCUUGUGUUGGAGCCCUGCGGCUGCCGCAGGCUCCCAAACCCAGUGGCGGGCUCGUCGUCGUACCGAGUGCAGUAAAUUUACCACGCUCAGGGCGCGCGACGGGUGACCGGCCGUAAAACACCCCCCUUCUCAAGGUUGACCUCGGAUCAGGUAGGAAUACCCGCUGAACUUAA
rnacentral:misc_RNA from 1 species